rnacentral:lncRNA from 1 species
AGAUAGAUUUACAUUGUCAACAAAAAAUAAUUUUAGUGAUAUCAUUAUAGAUGAUGUCAAAAUCAUGAUGAAUAAUUAAAGAAAUAGCAUUUAUAAAUAUUCAUAGCUUGUUAGUGUACUGCACACAACAAACAAACUUCUUAGAGUAGAUAAUGUAUUGAAAUAAUUCUCUCUUAUUGGAAUCGACUUUGUUAGACAUAGUUCGAUCUA